rnacentral:rRNA from 1 species
UACGUAGGGCGCAAGCGUUGUCCGGAAUUAUUGGGCGUAAAGAGCUCGUAGGCGGCCUGUCGCGUCUGCUGUGAAAUCCCGGGGCUUAACCCCGGGCGUGCAGUGGAUACGGGCUGGCUGGAGGCAGGCAGGGGAGAACGGAAUUCCCGGUGUAGCGGUGAAAUGCGCAGAUAUCGGGAGGAACACCGGUGGCGAAGGCGGUUCUCUGGGCCUGUACUGACGCUGAGGAGCGAAAGCGAGGGGAGCGAACAGG